ACGUUUGUGAACUGGAUGCGUUUUCUGCUCACUCGUAGACACACACCACUCCCUUCUAUUCUGACAAACUCGAUUGAUGAGGAGAAAAAGGGGUUGUGGGUGUGGAAAGACUCCUGAGUGAAUAAUGUGAAACAGAGACGAGGUUCUAUAAAAUAACUGCUUCCCAAGAGUCUAGUCUGAAUAGCAAACCAAAAGGAUCUACUUUUAGGAGACUUGUAGGUAAGUGAGAUUGGCCAUGGGUGGUGGUUGGUGAGGAUGUUACUGUUCUAAAUGACUUUUAAAUAGAUUUCAACAUCUGAAUGUCUAUUCACUCUUUAGAGUAUGGCUGUUCCGCUUCUUCGUAUAACAGCUUGCUCUUUCACACAAUAUUAUGUAAUGUAUACACACACAUUCAUACAGGCUAGUGUCUCUUGGAGGAAUACUAGUCAAGACACCUCCAUAACACACAAAGCAAGACUACCUCGGAUGGAAACCCAGUCUCCACAGCUUUCAAAGAGGGGGGAAAGAGGCAGUCUCACCAAGGGAGGAGGGGAGAGUAAGAGACAGACAGUGAGAGAGACAGAGAGAGCGAGAGAGAAAGAGAACGAGCAAGAGACAGAGCUCAUGAAGCAACAGAGUCUUUCCAGAGGAGGAGUGAAGGAAGAAGAAAAUGACCCACAGCAGAAGGAGGAGAUGAUGAACUAGCCUAUAUUAAUAAAACAGGCAGAGAGCACAAAAACACAGCAGGAGUCCUUUAUAAGUGGAGAUAAACAGUGUUGCUAUUGCACAACCGCUGCCUUUUCCACUGGCACCAAGAGAUGACAACAGCUACUACAAACUGGGAGAGAAGCAAGAAUAAAAGGAGAGAGUGAGAGUGGAGAGAGAGACGGUGGAAAGCAAACCAAUGACAGCUGGAGAAAGCUAACCUCGAGCCCGAUUUGUUUCCUUUCUGAAACCCAGAACAGAUUGUACAGAGGACAGCAGUGCAGCGGGUGGGGUUUUGGUCAUCUCUUGGCUUUGAUGCUAAUCGCUACUUGAGGAUUUAUCUCUGCUAACCCUAAUCCUGAAAAGACCGCUGGGUCGAGGAGGCGAGGUCACCACCUCUGUGUCACUGCCGGCUCCAACUCACCCAGCAACACACAGGGAACUCGCUCUCCACACUCACUCAGCAAAGUGGCCACAUCACACAACCUGCACCCAGAUACUACAGAGUUGCACCCACCCUCAGUGUGAGGGACAUGAUGGAUGCCAGGGAGGAGAUGCUGACCCUGCUACAGAAGCUCUGGGCCAAACUGCAGGGUCUCCCCACCGCCAGCCCUCUGGAGAUGGGGGCCUUUGCUGUCCUCGUCCUCUUUAUCGUGGUCUUCCUGCUCAUGCUGCUGAUGACCUGUUUGACGUGCUGCUGCUGUCACAGAACCAAGGGCCCACAUAGUCAGCUAACCUGAGACAAUCCCCACUUCCCCCAAUAAUGAGGAGAGACAUUAUAAACAGGCACUCUAUGGAGUGCCACUGUAUCACCAGGAGAGACAUUCUGGAGAGGCACUCUAUGGGCCUCUUAACCCCGGAGGAAUGAUGAGGACCCGUGGGGAGGGUGUGGAGCCCAUCUAUAAAGGAGCCCGGCCCUUGAACAACACACCUCCAUACAAAAACACACACAGAGCCUCCCUGAGAAGCAGUCAAACAGGCCCGGCUUUCAGGAGUAUCAACAUUCCAUGGGGCAUCCCUGGGCUCUGCUGGCUAACAAAGCAGUCUUUGACGUGAGAGAUGGACAAGACUAGACCUCUAGGACGGCUUCAACUGAUCCACACAACAAAGACACAAGGAACACAGGAGCAUGGAAUCACAAUCACACACACGCACACACAAAAGAUCCCAAUAGAAGCACAGGAGAUUGCUUGGGGAGAUGAAUGUCUGUCAGUUCUAGGAUGUAUGGGUGUCAACUCAACCUCUGCCACAGGCUCAUAGACUCUAAGAAAGAGCCCUCUGCAGUUUCCAUCAACAACUCACUUAAAUGGAGGCAUCUUGCCAAACCCCUUGUAAGAGUGUUGCCAUAUGUCUUCUAUCUAAAGGACUUCCUUUGCUUUAUUUCCUUGUUCAAGUGCUAGAUGGAACAAGGAAACACAGAAAUGUCCGACUUGCUAACUGGUUGAACGCGGCACGUGUAUAACUACAACCAGUUAGCAAGUCGAAAAAGUCUGUUUCCUAGUUCCGACUAGCACGUGAACACAGCAUUAGUUCAGCAAAAACAAGCCAUUAUCUCAUUCCUCAGGCGAUUCAGAGGACCAUGCCUGCCCUCUGCUGCCUUGUAAUAUGCUUCACAGUUACACACAAAAACAGAAAAAGAGUAAUGCUGUCAUUUCCAUAUAGUUGUUGCAUAGGUUAAAAAGGGCAUCUCUUCCUUCUGAAAAAUCAUUUUCUUAGCCUGCCUAAAAUAGUGCAAUACGCUUUUGUAUCUCUCUUACAUGAAAUAAAACAAAAUGCAGAUGAUUGUGGUGAGUUAUAUCAGGGGUUCCCAAACUGUUGGCUGCUGCUGUACACACACACACACACACACACACACACACACACACACACACACACACACACACACGCACACACACACACACACACACACGUUGCAAUUUCAAAAUGAUAUAGUGCAUCAUCAGUUUCUCAGUCAUUGCAGACCUUAGAGAGCCAUUUAUAACUUGUCCGAAAUGUCCAGAUCAACCAGCCUGUUGAUUUUUUUGUAAUGUUUGAGUCACUCAAAUAUCACAUGACAAAACAUAUAGAAUUGCAAGAAAAUUUGCUUUAAAACUGCAAAAGUUUCUCCGCACACCAUGACAAAAUGUGUAGAUUUGCAGGAAAUAUUGUAUGCUUUUAAACCUGCAAAAUCUUCUCUCCUCCAAUAAAAAGGGUGUGUCAUGAACAGUGCUUGUGGCCACAGAAAUAGAUGUUGCGUGCGAGCGCGAGAUGUUCCCCAAUGCUGGAAGAGGGGGCCUGAGUGUAAAAGUUUGGGAACCCCUGUGUUAUAUAACACUCACCCCUCUUGCUCACAGAAUGACACCAUGGCCUCGAAGUCUGUGAUGGAAGCCUUGUCUUGAUCUUUCUCGGAGCCACGCUUUGCCUGCAGAGAAGUCACACAAUCAUUCGCUCAAAGUUAAAUAAACAAACAUAAAAUGA